CUGGUUCCUAGUUUCUUGGCUAUGCAGUACUGGCCUUGCUUCAAUGUUAUCCUCGCUGGUCCUAGCAUCAACUUCAGUUGUAUUAUUGUUGUUUGCUGGUGUAUGCUGUGAAUUUUAAAAGAGGGGAGGCUAGAUAUAAGCGAGAUUAUGCAAAUUUAUAACACAACAGAAAUAAACAUGCACAAAUCAUGUUCUGGUUACCUCUCCUAGUAAAGCCUGAUGAUAAGGCGCAAUCAUUAUUUCAACUUUCCCCCAUCAAUUCUUGUCUAAGCGUGGCUUUAAGUUGUUCUCUCUCUGCUUUCCUUUCAGCUUCAUGCUUCUGCAUUUUUUCCUAUAAUUGACGUUCUUGUUCUUUGAGCCUCUCUAUUCUCUCCUGAAU
rnacentral:lncRNA from 1 species